CCUACGGGUGGCAGCAGUAGGGAAUCUUGCUCAAUGGGGGAAACCCUGAAGCAGCAACGCCGCGUGGAGGAUGAAGGUUUUCGGAUCGUAAACCUCUGUUGGUAGAGAAGAAAAUGACGGUAUCUAACGAACAAGUACUGGCCAAUUCCGUCCUAGCAGCCGCGGUAAUACGUCGGGUGCAAACGUUAUCUGGAAUCACUGGGCGUAAAGCGCGCGUAGGCGGGUUAGCAAGUCAGAUGUGAAAUCCUAUGGCUUAACCAGAGAACUGCAUUUGAAACUGUUAUUCUGGAGUGUGGGAGAGGAGAGUGGAAUUCUUGGUGUAGGGGUGAAAUCCGUAGAGAUCUGGAGGAAUACUCGUUGCGAAGGCGACCUUCUAGAACAUAACUGACGCUGAGGCGCGAAAGCGUGGGUAGCAAACAGGAUUAGAUACCCUAGUAGUC
rnacentral:rRNA from 1 species